GCAAACAUACUUCCCAACCCAAAUUCUUGGUUUUCCUCCCCAUCUCAAAUCCCUCACCGUCCAAGAAUCCAGAAUUGGAGUGGGUUGUGGAGGAGGAGGUCGUGGAGGUGCCGGCUACUCAUUCCUCAUUGCUUUCCUUGGGUCGGACUGAAAUUUGGUCUGCCUCUCAACCAUUGGAUCUCAACUCGAAGGAACUCUAGUUGCGGGAAUAUCACUGCAAGGAUGCUUCAAUCGGUAGGUACAUUGCUUCUUUGGAGCCAUGGGGACCGUGGAGACCGCCAAAGAUUGAUUGGAAGGGAAUGGAGUCACUGGAGAAGAGGGAAGAAGGUUUGGAGUGGGUUUUGGCACAAAAGAAAUGAAUUAGAAGUGCCACGGCGAUGGGAUGACCCAUUUUAAAGUGCCCAUCCCCAACACAAGUGUCAACUCGAGUGAAUGCUUGAUUCAACCCUUGAAUAGAGGGGAGAGAAGGGGAAGAAGAGUUUAUAUCAAAAAUCCGUCUUUUGAUUCCAAAGGUGAGAUAGCUGAAUAUAUUCUUUGCUUUUGUUGUAGUUUUAUAAUUUUCUAGUUUGUGUAAAAUAAAUGCCUUACAGGUUCCACAGCAGAGGAAUGACGAGGAAUGUGGCAUGUUAGUCCUUUAUGUUAUAUACCUUUUCCUCCAAAAUGCUCUCGAGAAUUUCAAUCAAGAGAGAUAUCCUCAUUUUGUUAGUUUUUAUGCUUUAUUCUUUUUCUAAUUUCAAACCUCAUAGUGUAUCAGAUGUUAUGAAAAUAAAUCUCUGCAUAUUCUUUUAUUUUUUAACUAACUGCACAAUGGCGUACUUUGGAAGACUUGGAAUAGAGAUCAUCAAAUAUUAGCGAAUAGAGAUCUUAUUAUAAAUAUCUUCAAAUUAGGAUCCAGAAUUAGCAAUCACAGUCCCAUACUCCAACUUAUGCACCUUUGCAGUUCCAGAGCUCCUUCUAGGCCCUACCACCAUCAUACUUUGCAAUGCAACUAUAGUCACCGUCAUCCUCUCAGUCCCAAAUGUAAAGUCAUGAGCUUGUUAUCCAAUAGGCAGAAGGAUCCAUCCUAGUAUCUCAUGAUUCUGAAAUCAAAGAAAUUGAGAAGAAUGGACGGAUUCAGUGUAUGGGAAAGUUCCAUAGAAUUAAAAAGUCUGAUGCUUCAUGAUCUCGAUCUAUAGACGUUCAAGAGGUACGAGCCAUGAAGGAUAAAUUCAAGGCUUAGGAGGAAUUGUUCUGAUCUUGUAACACUGCUCAGGCCUCAGAGAUGGUUUUCUGAUAAGCAUAUCUUAAAUACAGCAAACCAAGUAAAAAAUUGAUAGGUUUGAUGUUAAUUUAUUUCAUUUGAAAAUGAAGAUUGUAACUUAUGUAAUUUAUCUACAUCAUUCAUAGGUGCUCAAUGCUGCUAGUACAGCAGAUGAUUCUUCACAGGAUGCUCCUUGGGUUCGAGUUAUCAUAUCC
rnacentral:lncRNA from 1 species